GCGGAGGUAGCCGAGCCUGGUCAAAGGCGCUGGAGUUAAGUUCCAGUACGUAACGUUUCGUGGGUUCAAAUCCCACCCCCCGCA
rfam:Euryarchaeota archaeon TMED85 79142, whole genome shotgun sequence.